rnacentral:rRNA from 1 species
CGGAUUGUAGGCUGCAACUCGCCUACAUGAAGUCGGAAUUGCUAGUAAUCGCGGAUCAGCAUGCCGCGGUGAAUACGUUCCCGGGCCUUGUACACACCGCCCGUCACACCAUGGGAGUCGGUAACACCCGAAGCCUGUAGUCUAACCGCAAGGGGGACGCAGUCGAAGGUGGGAUUGAUGACUGGGGUGAAGUCGUAACAAGGUAUC